UGUAAGGUCCUUUUAAGGACCACCCAAAUAAUUAAAAAAGAAUCUAU
rnacentral:ncRNA from 1 species